rnacentral:lncRNA from 1 species
UCAUGGGGAGUCUUCUUUUUUAUUUUGUGAUGAAAUACUAUUAAAAAUAAAAAUAGAGUCAAAAAAAUUUCUUUCCAUAAGUUUUCUGAAAUAUCAAAACUUAUGAUCAUGGCGUUAGCUAUCUCUAAUAGAGUUCUAUUUUUUUGUUCAACAAUACCACUAUAUUGAGGAGAGUCAAGAGUAGUUACUUCAUGAAUUAUACCAUAAUCUUGAUA